UAUCCCGUCGGAACGCAAGCGGCACGAGGGGAUCAGGGACCCCGUUGACUGGCGCAGCGUUCGGGGAUGUCGCGAUUCAGGGACCGCGCCCCCGAGCCCGGCGAGAG
rnacentral:sRNA from 1 species